CCGGCAGUAAAGAUAAAGGAGAGACGGCUACAAUACGCGAAAGGGGAGGAGAAUAUGAUGGAGAUGAGGUUUUAUGGUCCUAUAGAAGAUUCCCUGCUGGCCUGGGUUGGAAAUAUAAAAGAGAACAAAGUUUUCCUUGUCCUGUUUUCUAAAUCUGGCCUUGUGAAACCUGAUGACAUGAAAAGGUUCAAGCACUUUGCAGCCUGUCUGUCCAUCCCUGUGACCUUUGUAAA